GGUGCGAGUGAUUGAUCGCCCUCUCCUCCCGCUCCGGUCCACUUCCCGGUUUGGCUCGGCGUCUGUGGUGUGUGUGGUUUUGAUCAUCAGACCAGGAUUGCGAUCUGGUGCUGAAUAAUCACCUGCAGUGUGGCUGAGGAUGACUGGAUGUCGUGGUGGACAGGUUGCUCUACAGGAGCCUUUCCUUGUGUUUGGCAUCUCGUGUCCUGAGUUCAUUGGAGCAGCAGGCCCUCACUCGGCUCUUCCUCCAGCCUUGGAUUCAGCUGGCGCUGUUUGUUCAGACUGCAACUUCAUGAACGAUUCAGGAUCGGAAAGAGGGGACAUAGUGACUCUGAUCCUUUGUACGAACUGUUAAUCCUCCUGAACGUGAGGAUAUUGUUCGCGCUGUUACUCCCCGAUCUGCCGGAGACGCAGGUGCGCGUCAGCAGCAGGGGCGUCUCAGCGCUCUGCGGACUCUGAAGCCCGGUCAUCUCUUAAUAGUGUAUUGCUUCAUGUUGGGUUGGUUGUUUGUUUCUUUUAUAUUGGUUUUGAGUUAUUCAUUUUCCUUUUCCUUAAUUCAGGUAUUUUUUGUUAACUGUUGUUUGUGGAUAUUUUGUUAUAUUCUUUAUUUGCAGGAGUGUGGUUAUUUUCAUUGCUUUGUUUGUUUUCUUGAUUGAUUUGUUUGGAUUUAUUUGAGUUGGUUUAGUUACCUUUUAUAAUUGCUUUUGUUUUGGGUUGUUUGUAUAUUAUAUUGUCUCUUAAAAAGAACCAUAUCUUAAAAUAAAUCGAGUUUUCAAAUUGUAA